GACGAACGCUGGCGGCGUGCCUAAUACAUGCAAGUCGAGCGGACGAAUCGAAAGCUUGCUUUUGAUUCGUUAGCGGCGGACGGGUGAGUAACACGUGGGCAACCUGCCCUGUAGACGGGGAUAACACCGAGAAAUCGGUGCUAAUACCGGAUAACACGAAAUGUCGCAUGACGUUUCGUUGAAAGACGGCGCAAGCUGCCGCUACAGGCUGGGCCCCCGGCGCAUUAGCUAGUUGGUGAGGUAAAGGCCCACCAAGGCGACGAUACGGAGCCGAUCUGAGAGGAGGGGCAGCGACACUGGGACGGAGACACGGCCGAGACGACUACGGGAGGCAGAAGGGGGGAAGUGUGGAAAAGGGGCGAAAGUCGGAGAGAGCAAUGCCGAGGGAGUGAAGAAGGCGUUCGGGGUGGAAAGCACGGUUGGCCGGAAAGAAAUACGUGGCUCUAAUACAGGCGGGGGAUGACGGUACAGGAAGAAUAAGCACCGGCUAACUACGUG
rnacentral:rRNA from 1 species